rnacentral:rRNA from 1 species
UACGUAGGGGGCAAGCGUUGUCCGGAUUUAUUGGGCGUAAAGAGCGCGUAGGCGGCCAGACAGGUCCGUUGUGAAAACUCGAGGCUCAACCUCGAGACGCCGAUGGAAACCGUCUGGCUAGAGUCCGGAAGAGGAGAGUGGAAUUCCCGGUGUAGCGGUGAAAUGCGCAGAUAUCGGGAAGAACACCCGUGGCUAAGGCGGCUCUCUAGUACGGUACUGACGCUGAGGCGCGAAAGCGUGGGGAGCGAACAGG